rnacentral:miRNA from 1 species
AUUCCGCUCGUUUGACUCUAG